UCCCUGGUAGCUCAGAGGGUAAAGCAUCUGCCUGCAGUGCAGGAGACCCAGGGUCAAUCCCUGGGUCGGGAA
rfam:TPA: Bos taurus chromosome 5, whole genome shotgun sequence.